rnacentral:rRNA from 1 species
ACGACCAUACCUACCAGAAAAUACGGGAUCCCGUCCGCUCUCCCAUAGUCAAGCUGGUAAGAGGCGGAUUAGUAGUUGGGUCGGUGACGACCAGCGAAUUCCCGCUGUUGUAUGUU